UUUGCAAUUGCUGGGUUAUAUGGUAAAUGAUGUUUAACAUAUUAAGAAACUGCAAAAAUGUUUUCCAAACCGGCUACACUAUUUUAUAUUCCCACCAGCCAAU
rnacentral:pre_miRNA from 1 species